UUAGGAGAUUUUAAUGAAAUUUUGUUAUCAUCAAAGAAAGAGGGAGGGAAUGUGAGACCAAAUGUGAUGAUGAGAGAUUUUCGUAAUUGUUUGGGAGAUUGUGGACUAGCAGAUAUGGGAUGUAGGGGUGACUUAUUUAUAUGGAGGAGGGGCGAAAUCAGGGAAAGACUAGAUCAAGCGGUCUGUAAUGUGGAUUGGGCGAAUAAAUUCCCUCGAGCGGCAGUUAUUAACGAAGAAUAUGUACACUCAGACCAUCGCCCUAUUAUUUUAGACACGAAAUAUUUUGACGAUAAUAUUUUUGACCACUCAAAAAGUCGAAGGAAACAUUUUUAA
rnacentral:rRNA from 1 species